rnacentral:rRNA from 1 species
GUCUUUUUGAGUUUAAUUUAAAGUCUAAUCUGCCCACUGAUAAAUAUUUAAGGGCCGCAGUAUUCUGACUGUGCAAAGGUAGCAUAAUCAUUAGUCUUUUAAUUGAGGGCUUGUAUGAAUGAUUGGACGAGAUAUAAGCUGUCUCAUAAAAAUUUAAGUAGAAUUUUAUUUUUUAGUUAAAAAGCUAAAAUAAUUUUAAAAGACGAGAAGACCCUAUAGAUCUUUAUAUUUUGUUCAUAAAUUUUUUUAGGUUAUUUUUUGAAUUUAUGAAUUAAAAUAUUUUGUUGGGGUGACAAUGAAAUUUAAUAAACUUUCAUUAUUUUAUAACAUUAAUUUAUGAAUAGUUGAUCCAUUUUUAGUGAUUAAAAAUUUAAGUUACCUUAGGGAUAACAGCGUAAUUAUUUUGGAGAGUUCUUAUCGAUAAAAUAGUUUGCGACCUCGAUGUUGGAUUAAGAUUAAUUCUGGGUGUAGCAGUUCAGUAUAUUAAGUCUGUUCGACUUUUAAUUUCUU